UGGGGAAUAUUGCACAAUGGGCGGAAGCCUGAUGCAGCGACGCCGCGUGGGGGUUGAAGGCGUUCGGGUUGUAAACUCCUUUCGACAGGGACGAAGCUUUUGUGACGGUACCUGAAUAAGAAGCACCGGCUAACUACGUUCCAGCAGCGGCCGUAAUACGUAGGUUGCGAGCGUUGUCCGGAAUUAUUGGGCGUAAAGAGCUCGUAGGUGGUUUGUCGCGUCGUCUGUGAAAUUCCGGGGCAUAACUCCGGGCGUACAGGCGAUACGGGCUGACUUGAGUGAUGUAGGGGAGACUGGAAUUCCUGGGGUAGCGGUGAAAUUCGCAGAUAUCAGGAGAAACACCGAUGGCGAAAGCAGGUCUCGAGGCAGUAACUGACGCUGAGGAGCGAAAGCAUGGGUAGCGAACAGG
rnacentral:rRNA from 1 species